ACGAAAGCUAGGGUAUCGAACAGGAUUAGAUACCCUGGUAGUCCUAGCUGUAAACGUUGUGCACUGGAUGUGGGCGGAUUUGGUCCCGUCUGUGUCUGACCGAAGGCGUUAAGUGCACCGCCUGGGGACUACGGCCGCAAGGCUAAAACUCAAAGGAAUUGACGGGGGCCCGCACAAGCGGUGGAGCAUGUGGCUCAAUUCGAGGCAACGCGAAGAACCUUACCUGGGUUUGACAUAUACCUGACCGCCGGUGAGAGCCGGUUUCUCUUUGAGCAGGUAUACAGGUGCUGCAUGGCUGUCGACAGCUCGUGCUGUGAAGUGUUCGGUUAAGUCCGGCAACGAGCGCAACCCACGCUGUUAGUUUACCAUCAGGUAAUGCUGGGGACUCUAACAGGACUGCCCGUGCUAAGCGGGAGGAAGGCGUGGACGACGUCAAGUCCGCAUGGCCCUUACGCCCAGGGCUGCACACGUGCUACAAUGGCCGGUACAGAGGGUCGCCACUCUGCGAAGAGGAGCUAAUCCCGAAAACCGGCCCCAGUUCGGAUUGGAGUCUGCAACCCGACUCCAUGAAGUAGGAUCGCUAGUAAGGCGUAUC
rnacentral:rRNA from 1 species